rnacentral:rRNA from 1 species
AUUGAACGCUGGCGGCAGGCCUAACACAUGCAAGUCGAGCGGAUGAAGAGAGCUUGCUCUUUGAUUCAGCGGCGGACGGGUGAGUAAUGCCUAGGAAUCUGCCUGAUAGUGGGGGACAACGUUUCGAAAGGAACGCUAAUACCGCAUACGUCCUACGGGAGAAAGCAGGGGACCUUCGGGCCUUGCGCUAUCAGAUGAGCCUAGGUCGGAUUAGCUAGUUGGUGAGGUAAUGGCUCACCAAGGCGACGAUCCGUAACUGGUCUGAGAGGAUGAUCAGUCACACUGGAACUGAGACACGGUCCAGACUCCUACGGGAGGCAGCAGUGGGGAAUAUUGGACAAUGGGCGAAAGCCUGAUCCAGCCAUGCCGCGUGUGUGAAGAAGGUCUUCGGAUUGUAAAGCGCUUUAAGUUGGGAGGAAGGGCAUUAACCUAAUACGUUAGUGUUUUGACGUUACCGACAGAAUAAGCACCGGCUAACUUCGUGCCAGCAGCCGCGGUAAUACGAAGGGUGCAAGCGUUAAUCGGAAUUACUGGGCGUAAAGCGCGCGUAGGUGGUUUGUUAAGUUGAAUGUGGAAGCCCCGGGCUCAACCUGGGAACUGCAUCCAAAACUGGCAAGCUAGAGUAUGGCAGAGGGUGGUGGAAUUUCCUGUGUAGCGGUGAAAUGCGUAGAUAUAGGAAGGAACACCAGUGGCGAAGGCGACCACCUGGGCUAAUACUGACACUGAGGUGCGAAAGCGUGGGGAGCAAACAGGAUUAGAUACCCUGGUAGUCCACGCCGUAAACGAUGUCGACUAGCCGUUGGGAUCCUUGAGAUCUUAGUGGCGCAGCUAACGCAUUAAGUCGACCGCCUGGGGAGUACGGCCGCAAGGUUAA